rnacentral:lncRNA from 1 species
CGAUGUGACAUGCAAGCAAGUUCGACGAAAGGAAAAGGCAGUAGACCGACUGGUAGACAUAGCACUAUGGAAAAUGGUGUACUAGAUGUUGACGGCUCUGAACAAUGUUCGUCGUUGACGCCAUUGUCAUCUUCGCAACCAUUUUUGGUACGUAUUUUAUUUCAUUUGGUCCGAGCCUUAUUUAGGAUAUUUUGUAAUGUAGGGUGACAGUAGCAACCAACAAUAGUUACAACGAACAGCUGUGGUUGACAUCGAGUGGCUACAAUUUGUCGAGAAAAAGCGAUGAGCCUUCUUUUAGGAAUGGUCAAGGAUAUCUGCGAAUAUUUUGAUUAGUUCUAGGCUGAUUAUGUAUGGUUUGUGCAGAAAUAUAAUUGUAGCCAAUAGCCAUAUAUUCAUAUUGUAUGGCUUGACUAAUUAUGGCCAGUAGCAUCCAUUUUGUAUUUUCAUUUUAUAUGGCUUGACUAACAAUUAUGGCCAAUAGCCAUGAAAUGCCCUAAAUGGAAAUGAUGAGUUCAUGUGUUUACAGUGAAACU